rnacentral:rRNA from 1 species
AACGAACGCUGGCGGCAUGCCUAACACAUGCAAGUCGAACGAAGUCUUCGGACUUAGUGGCGCACGGGUGCGUAACGCGUGGGAAUCUGCCCUUGGGUACGGAAUAACUCAGAGAAAUUUGUGCUAAUACCGUAUAAUGUCUUCGGACCAAAGGUUUAUCGCCCAAGGAUGAGCCCGCGUAAGAUUAGCUAGUUGGUGGGGUAAAAGCCUACCAAGGCGACGAUCUUUAGCUGGUCUGAGAGGAUGAUCAGCCACACUGGGACUGAGACACGGCCCAGACUCCUACGGGAGGCAGCAGUGGGGAAUAUUGGCAAACGGGCGGAAGCCUGAUCCAGCAAUGCCGCGUGAGUGAUGAAGGCCGUAGGGUUGUAAAGCUCUUUUACCAGGGAUGAUAAUGACAGUACCUGGAGAAUAAGCUCCGGCUAACUCCGUG